UACGUAGGAGGCAAGCGUUUGUCCGGAGUUACUGGGCGUAAAGCGCACGCAGGCGGUCUUGUCAGUCUGUAGGGACAGGGCACAGCUCAACUGUGUCAGGCUUAUGGAAACUGCAAGACUUGAGGGCUUCAGAGGGAUGGGGAAUUCCGGGUGGAGUGGUGAAAUGCGUAGAGAUCCGGAAGAACACCAAAGGCGAAGGCACCAUCCUGGGGAGUCACUGACGCUCGGGUGCGAAAGCUAGGGGAGCGGAACGGG
rnacentral:rRNA from 1 species